UCCCGCGCCCCAAGCGCUGGGGCAUCUUAAAAGAAACCGAAAACAAAACAAAAACAAACAAAACGCCAAAACCCACUCUCACCUCCUCUACUGCUCAAAGGAAAGUAUCUCCCAGAAUAGUUGCUUCCCUGAGACAUUUUGCAGAAACAUUGUUCUGAGAAGCAUACGAGGUGUCAUCUUUCUGUAGCAGUGUUUAUAAAAGGUCAUAAAUAAGCACAAUAAGCUGUAAUUUACAAAUAAGCACAAAGAAGAUAGAGCACAUUGUGAUUGAUAAUUGUUCUACCAGAAACAUUUGUCCAUAUGUAUUGUCUAAAGGAGCUAUGGAAAUAUCUUGCUACUCUUUUCAGGGUUCAGCCUCUGUGAUGAAUGUAAUCUGCACCAGCGCACCACCAAAACC